UACAGAGGUGGCAAGCGUUGUUCGGAAUUACUGGGCGUAAAGGGCGCGUAGGCGGUCUUGUAAGUCUUGUGUGAAAUCCCUCGGCUUAACUGAGGAACUGCACGGGAUACUGCGAGACUUGAGAUCGGGAGAGGGAAGCGGAAUUCCGGGUGUAGCGGUGAAAUGCGUAGAUAUCCGGAGGAACACCGGUGGCGAAGGCGGCUUGCCUGGACCGACACUGACGCUGAGGCGCGAAAGCUAGGGGAGCAAACGGG
rnacentral:rRNA from 1 species